rnacentral:rRNA from 1 species
ACGGGUGAGUAACACGUGGGUAACCUGCCUCAUAGAGGGGAAUAGCCUUUCGAAAGGAAGAUUAAUACCGCAUAAGAUUGUAGUAUCGCAUGAUACAGCAAUUAAAGGAGUAAUCCGCUAUGAGAUGGACCCGCGUCGCAUUAGCUAGUUGGUGAGGUAACGGCUCACCAAGGCGACGAUGCGUAGCCGACCUGAGAGGGUGAUCGGCCACAUUGGGACUGAGACACGGCCCAGACUCCUACGGGAGGCAGCAGUGGGGAAUAUUGCACAAUGGGGGAAACCCUGAUGCAGCAACGCCGCGUGAGUGAUGACGGUCUUCGGAUUGUAAAGCUCUGUCUUCAGGGACGAUAAUGACGGUACCUGAGGAGGAAGCCACGGCUAACUACGUGCCAGCAGCCGCGGUAAUACGUAGGUGGCAAGCGUUGUCCGGAUUUACUGGGCGUAAAGGGAGCGUAGGUGGAUAUUUAAGUGGGAUGUGAAAUACUCGGGCUUAACCUGGGUGCUGCAUUCCAAACUGAAUAUCUAGAGUGCAGGAGAGGAAAGUAGAAUUCCUAGU